rnacentral:rRNA from 1 species
GACGAACGCUGGCGGCGUGCCUAACACAUGCAAGUCGAACGGAAAGGCCCUGCUUUUGUGGGGUGCUCGAGUGGCGAACGGGUGAGUAACACGUGAGUAACCUGUCCCUGACUUUGGGAUAUCUUCAGGAAACUGGGGCUAUUACCGGAUAGGAUCUAUUGCUGCAUGGUGGGGGUUGGUAAGAUUCGGCGGUUGGGGCUGGACUCGCGGCUUAUCGGCUUGUUGGUGGGGUAGUGGCUUACCAAGGCUUUGACGGGUAGCCGGCCUGAGAGGGGGACCGGCGACGAUGGGACUGAGAUAGGGCGCAGCCUGGAACGGGACGCAACAGGGGAGAAUAUGGCAGAGUGGGCGGAAGCCAGAUGUAGCAACGCCGCGUGCGGGAUGCCGGGCUACGGGUUGUGAACCAAUGUCGCCUGUGACGAAGCGUGAGUGACGGUAACGGGUAAAGAAGCACCGGCUAACUACGUG